ensembl:lncRNA
CAGUGUUAUUUCUAUUUACUCCCUAUUUAAGGUAACCUGAUAAAUCUUCUUGGUGUGAAACUUAUCCAUACUGUGGACUGUGUCCUUAGGAAAGACCCCAGAAAGGAAUGGCAAGGUAAAACUGGGAGCCUGUGGCUGUUGAUACCUGUCUAGAAUGGACAGGUCCAUCCCCAUGACAUUGGAGUGUGAGCUCCUGUCACCCACAGAAGCCCUAACCCCACCAGCAGCCCCAGCACGUGGGGAGUAGGGGAGGCACCUGGACAAUGGUCAGUGCUUCAGGCAGUGGGUGUCCUCCAGUGAAGAUAUCCUGCAUUGCAAACUCUUUGGUUCCUUCAGGAAACUUCUGACUGGGCCCCAGACACAGGGAGCAAAGUGUUCAAGAGAGCAGAAAAGCUUCUGGCUCAUGGGGUCAAGCUCCUGAACCAGAUAUGAGGUUUGAUACAAGGCACUGGAAUAGCCCAGGUUAACAACUCAUGAAUAUUGUUUUGAGGUUCCCGCCUUACAGAUUGUUAAACUGUUUUCUCGUACAACUUCAUAAUUUUCGCAGACUAAGCCAUUUUCCAGAGGAGAUGGCUGAAGCUUGGAUUGACCAGAGCAGUGCUUCUUGAAAGGUUCUGUGGGUUUGAGUCACGGGGAAUCCUAUUAAAAACACAGAUUCUGGUUCAGCUGAUCUGGGGUGGGAUCCAAAUUGCAUUUCUAACAGGCCCCCAGGUGAUGGCGACGCCGCUGGCCUGAGGACCUCACUUGAGUAGAGAAGUGUGAGGGGACUUAGGCAAGCCACAUGCAUCCUCAGUGACUGAGCUGGAACCCGUGUCUGCCUGACUCCAAAGCCUGUGUCCUCUGUCUGCGGUUGCCAUGUAGAAUCCUGCAGUCCUACCACUUACUUUGCAGGUGAGGGAGGCGAGACAAAGAGGUUUCCGCUGGAAGGGAAGGUGGCUUUGUUCAGAGAGGGAGCUGCCUUUCCCAGGCCCACCCCUGACCUUGAGAUUUGAUGAGGAAGAGGGGGAUGGAGGGGAUGAUCUCCUGAGUGGGGAAGUGCCACAGCCGGGUAGCCGUCAGUGUUGGGAAAAUUAAUUUUUUAAUUAAAAACAUGUCUUUUUUCCCCACUCUUCUUUCCCCUUUGCUUUAAUGUCUCAGUCUAGAGUAAUAAUGAGUUGCUCUGGGGAGGCUGAAUCUUAGAAAAACUGUUGGUGCGACUGCUGAGGAAUUUAUCUGAUUAACUUGGGCUCAGCCUUUGAAAAGAAGAGAAAGGGAAGUAAAAAGAAAAAGGGAGGAGGGAAAGCUCCAGCUCCCCAUCGGUUUUCUGGCACAAAACUUAAUCACAGCGUCAGAGAGGCCGCCCCUGAACAAGGUGGCUGGGGACUCAGCAUCCCGGCAUUCCCCUCCCCAGGCCCCAGUGGCCCUCUGCCCUAGCCCAGGCCCCACCUGUCCUCUGGGUUGCCUCCCAGGGCCUGGAGAUGUCACUGUAAGUGGCCCAAUGUCAGAGAUGGGGUCUUAGAUUGGAUUCCCGGAAGGCAGAGCCUGGAAAGGGGUCUGGUGCUUUCAGUGACACGCAUGAGGGGUUAGAUGAGGAUGUGGUUCAGCCAAAGUC